rnacentral:rRNA from 1 species
GACCUGCGGAGGAUCAUUACUGAAUUGUCAACACGAGUUGCUGCUGGUCCUCAAAUGGGGGCAUGUGCACACUCUGUUCACACAUCCACUCACACCUGUGCACCCUCUGUAGUUCUAUGGUUUGGGGGACUCUUUCCCCGUUCUGUGGUUCUAUAUCUUUACACACACUCUGUUAUGAAGUCUCAUGGAAUGUAUGCCGCGUUUAACGCAAUACAAUACAACUUUCAGCAACGGAUCUCUUGGCUCUCGCAUCGAUGAAGAACGCAGCGAAAUGCGAUAAGUAAUGUGAAUUGCAGAAUUCAGUGAAUCAUCGAAUCUUUGAACGCACCUUGCGCCCUUUGGCUAUUCCGAAGGGCAUGCCUGUUUGAGUAUCAUGAACACCUCAACUCUCAUGGCUUGCCAUGAUGAGCUUGGAUUUUGGGGGUCUUGCUGGCCUAUGGUCAGCUCCUCUCAAAUGAAUCAGCUUUCCAGUGUUUGGUGGCAUCACAAGUGUGAUAACUAUCUACGCUUGUGGUUUCCUGCCAGGUAACCUUCAGUGAUGGGGGUUCGCUGGGGCUCAUAAAUGUCUCUCCUCAGUGAAGACAUGUUUUUUAAUGUUUGAUCUCAAAUCAGGUAGGACUACCCGCUGAACUUAAGCAUAUC